UACGUAGGGGGCAAGCGUUGUCCGGAAUCAUUGGGCGUAAAGAGCGUGUAGGCGGCCAGGUAGGUCCGUUGUGAAAACUCGAGGCUCAACCUCGAGACGUCGGCGGAAACCAUCUGGCUAGAGUCCGGAAGAGGAGAGUGGAAUUCCUGGUGUAGCGGUGAAAUGCGCAGAUAUCAGGAAGAACACCCGUGGCGAAGGCGGCUCUCUGGGACGGUACUGACGCUGAGACGCGAAAGCGUGGGGAGCAAACAGG
rnacentral:rRNA from 1 species